rnacentral:tRNA from 111 species
GCCCCCGUAGCUCAGGGGAUAGAGCAACGGCCUCCGGAGCCGUGUGCGCAGGUUCGAAUCCUGCCGGGGGCAC